GUCUACGGCCACACAACCCUGAACGCGCCCGAUCUCGUCUGAUCUCGGAAGCUAAGCAGGGUCGGGCCUGGUUAGUACUUGGAUGGGAGAUUUAUCUGAACCUCCUUUUCUGACAACU
rnacentral:rRNA from 1 species